GAUGAACGCUGGCGGCGUGCCUAAUACAUGCAAGUCGAACGAGCUCUUCGGAGCUAGUGGCGGACGGGUGAGUAACACGUUGGUACCUACCCCGAAGUGGGGAAUAACUGCCCGAAAGGGUGGCUAAUACCGCAUAAUACCGUAAGGUUAAAGCAGUAAUGCGCUUCGGGAGGGGCCUGCGUCCCAUUAGCUAGUUGGCGGGGUAAAUGCCCACCAAGGCGACGAUGGGUAGCUGGAUCGAGAGGUUGACCAGCCACACUGGGACUGAGAUACGGCCCAGACUCCUACGGGAGGCAGCAGUAAGGAAUCUUCCACAAUGGACGAAAGUCUGAUGGAGCAACGCCGCGUGCAGGAUUAAGGCCUUCGGGUUGUAAACUGCUUUUAUAUAGGAAGAUUAUGACGGUACUAUAUGAAUAAGGACCGGCUAACUACGUGCCAGCCGCCGCGGUAA
rnacentral:rRNA from 1 species